UACGUAGGAGGCAAGCGUUGUCCGGAAUUACUGGGCGUAAAGCGCGUGUAGGUGGUGGGACAAGUCUGCUGUGAAAGCGCCUGGCUUAACCGGGCGAGGUCGGCGGAAACUGUCCGACUCGAGGACGGUAGAGGGGGGUGGAAUUCCCGGUGUAGUGGUGAAAUGCGUAGAGAUCGGGAGGAACACCAGUGGCGAAGGCGGCCCCCUGGGCCGGUCCUGACACUGAGACGCGAAGGCGUGGGGAGCGAACGGG
rnacentral:rRNA from 1 species